GCUGUUUGGGGUAAUUAAAAGUCACCAGCUUUGAAUGUUAUCAGCCAAUUGAAUGGGCGUUAUCAGUUGUUAUCACUACCGUAUGAGGCGGUAUAGCCCUACUCCACCUCCUUGUUGGUUCAAUAGACCGUUGUCAUCUAUUGGUAAGCU